rnacentral:lncRNA from 1 species
GAAUGGUUUAAAAUACAAACUAGGAGCGUGUUUUCAUGGAGUCUGUAGCUCUUCUAUUUAUAAAGUACCACUCAUUACUUUGGGUUAGCCCAAGAGGUAUUUAUUCAGUGCUUAAUACUGUAUGCGUAGUGUCAUAUGUGACUAGUUUAAAGGUUUUAACAUGGUUUAGCCUUGUAAGAACUUAGAACUUAGGACAGUAGGAUGUGAACUUGAACAGCACUGAUGAGGUGAGAGAGAAGGCAGAGGGCGCCGUGUGCCUGUCACGGGUGCAGCAGUGCUCAUGAGGGUUCCCAGGCCACCAUGGCCAGCGACCCCAAUGCUGGCUGUCUUGUCCUUGGCAUCACGUGGUGGCUUGACAGAGGGUCUGGGAGGUUGGGAGCCAGAUGCAGUGAGGUAUUCUGGUGAUAAUUCAGGGCAGUUAGUUCAUAUUUGAUAAUUUUAUAUGAACUUAGCAAUUCCGUUUUGAAAUGUUUGGAUUAUGUAUAAGAAGUGUCUUUUCCAAACCCUCAGAAGGACAAAAGGUUGUGUUUAACAGCAGCUGUAGUCAUAGUUUAGAAAUGUAUUAUAGAAAUAAAACAUUUCAUGAAACAUAAGUUUAGCAAUAAUUAAAAUUUCUGUUUUUUUCAAUAAUUGCAUACCUUUUCUUCAGAUGAACUUCCAUUGUCGUGUGUGUAUGGUAUGUAGAGGACGUUUCAAGGAAAAGGCAUCGAUUUCACCUGCUGGUUGGUGAAUCUGUGUGGCCGUUCCCUUUGGCACCCAGUCAUUUUACUAGUCUGCUUUCUGUAUUGUGC